rnacentral:rRNA from 1 species
GAUGAACGCUGGCGGCGUGCCUAAUACAUGCAAGUUGAGCGCUGAAGGUUGGUACUUGUACCCACUGGAUGAGCAGCGAACGGGUGAGUAACGCGUGGGGAAUCUGCCUUUUAGCGGGGGACAACAUUUGGAAACGAAUGCUAAUACCGCAUAAAAACUUUAAACACAAGUUUCAAGUUUGAAAGAUGCAUUUGCAUCACUCAAAGAUGAUCCCCCGUUUUUUUAGCUAGUUGGUGAGGUAAAGGCCAACCAGGGCAAUGAUACAUAGCCUACCGGGAGGGUGGACGGCCAACGUGGGAACGAGACACGGCCCAAAACUCUACGGGAGGCCGCAGUAGGGAAACAUCGGAAAUGGAGGAAAGGCUGACCGAGCAACGCCGGGGGAGUGAAGAAGGGUUUCGGAUCGUAAAACUCUGUUGGUAGGGAAGAAAGUUGGUGAGAGUGGAAAGCUCAUCAAGUGACGGUAACUAACCAGAAAGGGACGGCUAACUACGUG